CAUCAAAACUUUACUAGCUUUAGCCUACUCUGGAUGCCUGUGUGUAGUGAAUUAUUAUAGGUUGUGCAUCUUUGGACGUUACAACGGCCUGUGGCGCUGUUACAACUUUUUGGAGCACCGACCAAUCAGCACUGGACAGAGAACGCUGAGGGUGGGGUUAUUUUGUUCGUAAGACUUUAACAAACAUCAUAAUAUAGCGUUUUACUACUGAAAUAUCUCUUAAAGUCCAUAAUUUAUUGCACUAAUUACAAGAAUUAUAAUUUACUCAGAAUAAUUAUUACGAUACAAAACAGAAUUCAUCGAUAUUUGUCUUAAAUAACAACUAUUUGGACAAAAAUUUGGAACUGUUUUGUGAUCUGGGUUGUUGUCAUGAAAAAUACGCCAAUGUCUGUAUGAUUUCACUUGUCUGUAAUCUUCACUGGACAAAAACAGUUACGAACUGCCGGUUUCAGUGUUGCAUGUAUUGAUACGAACUCUUGAUAGACAUUAAAAUUAUGUAAUCGCUGUGACAUUUCGAUCGUAAAUAUCGAAGCUAGACCCUUUCAGCUUUCGAAUGACAUAUAGUUAGUGAACAUUAAUAAAGUCUUUAAGGGUAAAAGUAUUCAGUAAAUGUAAACAAACAAACUUCCGAACCGGUGAUGGUCUCAAUCAAGUUAAUGGAUUAAACGGCGCCACUGACUCGAGAUGGAGUAACAUUCAGCUGAUUGAUCAAACUGGAGAACUCACCAUCAGAAACAUCCGAAAAGAUCAGUCUGGAGAUUAUGAAGUGGAGAUCAACAGCAGCACUGUAAUUUUACACAGGAAAUUCGUUAUUACCUUUGAUGAAAUGAAGACAGUAUCAGUGAAGGAGGGAGAACCUGUCUCUCUUCACACUGGUCUUAUCGAAAUAAAGGGAUAUGAUCUGAUAUUGUGGACAUUUGAAAACCAUCUCAUAGCUAGAAUAAACAGAACUACCAAUCAAUUUUCAUUAUUCAGUGCUGAAGGGAAAUUUGAGGGCAGACUACAGCGAGAGCAUCAAACUGGAUCUCUCAUCAUCCGCGACUCUAGAACCACAGACUCUGGAGAUUAUCAUCUAAACAUGAGCAGCAGCACAUACACUUUACAGAGGACCAUCAGUGUUACGGUCAAGAAUUCAGGACUGUCUCCAGGUGUUAUAGCAGGAGUAUGUGUUGCUGUUGCUGUUGCUGUUGUGCUGAUUCUGAUUGUUCUUUGCUGCUACAAUAAAAGGAAGAAACACUAUGACCCCGCAGGUCAAGGUAAUGGAACACAAACAUAAGGAGAAGCCUAAUAUUUACAAGUAUAUAACCACUUUAAUAAUAUCAACUGUUUGGAAUCAACUCUGUGCACUGAUGAGCUGUAACUGGGAAAAAAAAAAUAAUAAUAAUAAAUCUUGGAAUAAAAUAAAUAUUGUUUAGUUUAAUUCACAUCUUUACAGCUGAUUGCACAUGAUCCAUUUAUUCUUAAUCUGAAUAUAAAUGAAACAGUUUUGAAACAUCUUUGUCUGGUCCAAUGUAAUGUGAUGUUCUCUGUAAGAUAUAUUUUCCUUACACAUUUGCUGAUGUUUUACUCCAUUAAAAAAAAAAAUAAAUAAAUAAAAUAAAUAAUUAUUUUUGUUUGCAUUCAUUGUUAUUUUGAACAUUGUGAUUAUUUUUUUUCCCAUUCAUUAAACCAAACAGUAUAUAUUUAUACUGUAUAUUUCUUACAGUGAGAGUCUACUAGUAAUUUUUUUUUUUAUUUAAUGUUUUUGUAAUUUAAUACUUUUUUCAUUACAAAUUAUGUUAUCAGUUGAAAUAUUAACACAAAUUUGAGAAUAUUGGACCUGAAUGUGAAUUUUAAAUGUGAGCUUAGAAGUGAACCGGAUGAAAAAUAAUCUUUGAUGUUUACAGUAGAUUUUAAUUAGACCUUCAUUCUGUAAUCUCCAAUAAAAAAAGUGACUCAUCUUGUCCUCGUAUCCUUGCAUUUAUACAUUACCCUGUAAAGGCCAAAAAUAAGUGGUAUUUCAAAAUGUGAAAUUCAGGUGAAACAUUCAGACAUGCAUGUUAUAAAUGAAAUGCAAGUGAACGCACAUUGAGGCUACCUGUCAAAAUUGUCUCAGUUUAUUUGCAGUAAAGUUGAUCUGAUUAUUUAAAAGUUUGUUUGGAGCAUUCACAAUAAUAUGAAAAUCAAUAUGAACCACUCUCAGACCCUUGAAACUAUGUUUGAAAACACACUGCUAUAUGCUACUACAACUUUAUCAUCUUGAUGUCUGCCCUGUAGUGGACUAAUGUGGACUACAGGUAGGAUUCUUUGUUCAUUUAGUGUAAUAGUUGUUGCAACCAGUUUAUAUGAAUAAGCAUGUA